GCGGUGACCAUCACCGAGGAUGAGAUGAUCGGCGUCCGCGCGGGAGACGAGCGCGCGCUGCGCGCGAUAGGGGCGUACGUGAAAGUGCUCAGGGGGGCGAUGGCCGUGGGCGUCCCGCCGUUACCGUGAGGCUUUUCCUCCUUCUCCUUCUCCUUCUCCUUUCUCUCCUCGCGGCGUUCGUUCAUCUAUCAUCGAGCUGAGGGUGCCUAUUUUUUGUAAGCUUCUGAGAGUUGUUUUUCCCUUUCCGUCGUCGACCCUUCCCGCGGCGGCACGCGCGCGGAACGCGUGCGCGCCAACGGCGUCCCCGCGGUGUGGCUCACCCCCCCCCAGUACGCCUCCACGAAGACGAUCAUGUGGAUGCACGGCGGCGCGUUCAUAUUCUGUCA
rnacentral:lncRNA from 1 species